rnacentral:rRNA from 1 species
GAUGAACGCUGGCGGCGUGCCUAAUACAUGCAAGUCGAGCGAACAGACGAGGAGCUUGCUCCUCUGACGUUAGCGGCGGACGGGCGAGUAACACGUGGAUAACCUACCUAUAAGACUGGGAUAACUUCGGGAAACCGGAGCUAAUAAUGGAUAAUAUAUUGAACCGCAUGGUUCAAUAGUGAAUGACGGUUUUGCUGUCACAUAUAGAUGGAUCCGCGCCGCAUUAGCUAGUUGGUAAGGUAACGGCUUACCAAGGCAACGAUGCGUAGCCGACCUGAGAGGGUGAUCGGCCACACUGGAACUGAGACACGGUCCAGACUCCUACGGGAGGCAGCAGUAGGGAAUCUUCCACAAUGGGCGAAAGCUUGACGGAGCAACGCCGCGUGAGUGAUGAAGGUCUUCGGAUCGUAAAACUCUGUUAUUAGGGAAGAACAACUGUGUAAGUAACUAUGCACGUCUUGACGGUACCUAAUCAGAAAGCCACGGCUAACUACGUG